GGGGAAUUUUCCGCAAUGGGCGAAAGCCUGACGGAGCAAUACCGCGUGAGGGAGGAAGGCUCUUGGGUUGUAAACCUCUUUUCUCAGGGAAGAACACAAUGACGGUACCUGAGGAAUCAGCAUCGGCUAACUCCGUGCCAGCAGCCGCGGUAAUACGGAGGAUGCAAGCGUUAUCCGGAAUGAUUGGGCGUAAAGCGUCCGCAGGUGGCAGUGUAAGUCUGCUGUUAAAGAGUGAGGCUCAACCUCAUAAAAGCAGUGGAAACUACACAGCUAGAGUGCGUUCGGGGCAGAGGGAAUUCCUGGUGUAGCGGUGAAAUGCGUAGAUAUCAGGAAGAACACCGGUGGCGAAAGCGCUCUGCUAGGCCGCAACUGACACUGAGGGACGAAAGCUAGGGGAGCGAAUGGGAUUAGAUACCCCAGUAGUCCUAGCCGUAAACGAUGGAUACUAGGCGUGGCUUGUAUCGACCCGAGCCGUGCCGUAGCUAACGCGUUAAGUAUCCCGCCUGGGGAGUACGCAGGCAACUGUGAAACUCAAAGGAAUUGACGGGGGCCCGCACAAGCGGUGGAGUAUGUGGUUUAAUUCGAUGCAACGCGAAGAACCUUACCAAGACUUGACAUGUCGCGAAUCUUUGGGAAACUAAAGAGUGCCUUCGGGAGCGCGAACACAGGUGGUGCAUGGCUGUCGUCAGCUCGUGUCGUGAGAUGUUGGGUUAAGUCCCGCAACGAGCGCAACCCUCGUUUUUAGUUGCCAGCAUUAAGUUGGGCACUCUAGAGAGACUGCCGGUGACAAACCGGAGGAAGGUGGGGAUGACGUCAAGUCAGCAUGCCCCUUACGUCUUGGGCUACACACGUACUACAAUGCUACGGACAGAGGGCAGCAAGCUAGCAAUAGCAAGCAAAUCCCGUAAACCGUGGCUCAGUUCAGAUCGCAGGCUGCAACUCGCCUGCGUGAAGGAGGAAUCGCUAGUAAUUGCAGGUCAGCAUACUGCAGUGAAUUCGUUCCCGGGCCUUGUACACACCGCCCGUCACACCAUGGAAGCUGGCAACGCCCGAAGUCAUUACUCCAACCUUUCGGGGGGGAGGAUGCCUAAGGCAGUGCUGGUGACUGGGGUGAAGUCGUAACAAGGUAGCCGUACCGGAAGGUGUGGCUGGAUCACCUCCUUUUAGGGAGACCUACCCAACUUUGAUGCUCGAAAGCACACAGCAAAUAGACACAAAGAAGGUCAAACCUAGGUCGGUCGCAGUUAUUUGUGGCGAGCUUUCAAACUAUAUUGGUUCGUUUAUGGGCUAUUAGCUCAGGUGGUUAGAGCGCACCCCUGAUAAGGGUGAGGUCCCUGGUUCGAGUCCAGGAUGGCCCACCUGAAAGUAAUUAGUAAUUGCUAAUUCGUAAUUCGUAAUUAACUACGAAUUAAGAAUUACGAAUUACGAAUUAUUAGGGGGGUUUAGCUCAGUUGGUAGAGCGCCUGCUUUGCAAGCAGGAUGUCAGCGGUUCGAGUCCGCUAACCUCCACCUGUAUGUAAAAAAAUGCGAUUAAAUUCAGCAACGUGACACACAACAGAUGUCAGACUGCUGGAUGAUUAAUCCAGCCAGAACCUUGAAAACUGCAUAGUAACGCGAAGCAGGCAGACACAGACAUUGAAUUGAUGAAUUGUGUUUGCAGUGUUGAACACCAAUAUAUGUCUAAUUACGAAUUACGAAUUACGAAUUACGAAUUAGACAGUGGUCAAGCUAAUAAGGGCUGACGGUGGAUACCUAGGCACACAGAG
rnacentral:misc_RNA from 1 species